rnacentral:rRNA from 1 species
AUACGGAGGGUGCAAGCGUUGUUCGGAAUCACUGGGCGUAAAGGGCGCGCAGGCGGAUUGGUCAGUCAGAUGUGAAAGCCCACGGCUUAACCGUGGAAGUGCAUUUGAAACUGCCAUUCUUGAGUACCAGAGGGGAAAGUGGAAUUCCCGGUGUAGAGGUGAAAUUCGUAGAUAUCGGGAGGAAUACCGGUGGCGAAGGCGACUUUCUGGCUGGAUACUGACGCUAAGGCGCGAAAGCGUGGGGAGCAAACAGGAUUAGAAACCCUAGUAGUCC